rnacentral:lncRNA from 1 species
GAGGUAAUGUAUUAGUGAACAAAGAAUAAUGUUACAAGGAAAAAGACAGAAAUUUAUGUAGAGAACAGGUAUAUAGCAGAGUUUAUUAGAAAAUUAAAUGUUAUUUGCCUCACUAUCCUCUGAGUUGUUUGGUGAUUUGGCAGCAGUGAUUUAGAUGUCCUAAUUUAGUGAGAGAUGAAUGAAACCUACUUAUUUCCAUUGACUGUAAAGGGAACCCAGACAACUAGUUUGAAUGUACAUGUCUAUAUUGCAGAAAUCAAUUCUUGGCAGAUGAAAUUCUCUCCCCAAAUCCAAACUAAAUGAACAAUGACCAAAGAUCAAUUGCACAUUUUGGGUGAGCCCAGCAAUAUGGAAAAGGAGAAAAGCUGAUCUUGUGCUGCCGCUUAGUGAAGGCCUCAGACUGCAUUUAUUUGCUGGGUGUAUGGACUGGUCCUGGGUACAGGCCUGCAUGCUCAGUGUCUGGCUGUCCUUCUGCCGGGAGAUCUCAUAGUGAUAUCAACAAUGGGCAAACACAGAAACAACAUUUUUUUCUGUAAAAGGUUGUAUGCACUAUGUGAUUUCAGGAGAAGUAGUUGUGUUAACCUGGGCUAUUUUAAGAAGAGAGGUGGCACAUCACCCUGCCUUGGAUCCACUGGGGAGUCAGACGAGAGAUGGGCCAGAUGCUAUCCCCUUGACUCUUUGUAAACUUGGGCUACAUAAACGAAUGUUUCAGUUUGGAGCUUGAGCUCUGUUUCGUUACAACACACCUGACUCCUGGCACCACAUGGACACAAAUGCUGUUCCUGAGCAUGGGGAUCUGGAGGUCAGGAUCCCUUCACACCAAAAUCUGGUUUUUCUCUUAAGAGAUGAUGGUGUUUCACCCUAUGGUGAACUUGUAGAUGUCUCUUCAGGUAAGCAAGAAAAGGUCUGUGUGAACCAACUAGAUAAGUCUAGGAUAUUCUUUGUUGCAUCUAUUUGUGUCAUUGGUUUGCUGAUUUUUUGGAGCAAAAAUCCUGGAGCUGGUCCUGCUAUCAUAAUUUGAUCCAGAAUUUAACACUUCCAUUUAUUUUUAGGUUGCAUACUACCAUUUUAUUCUGU